GAACGCUGGCGGCGUGCCUAAUACCUGCAAGUCGAGCGAACGGACGAGAAGCUUGCUUCUCUGAUGUUAGCGGCGGACGGGUGAGUAACACGUGGAUAACCUACCUAUAAGACUGGGAUAACUUCGGGAAACCGGAGCUAAUACCGGAUGAUAUUUUGAACCGCAUGGUUCAAAAGUGAAAGACGGUCUUGCUGUCACUUAUAGAUGGAUCCGCGCUGCAUUAGCUAGUUGGUAAGGUAACGGCUUACCAAGGCAACGAUGCAUAGCCGACCUGAGAGGGUGAUCGGCCACACUGGAACUGAGACACGGUCCAGACUCCUACGGGAGGCAGCAGUAGGGAAUCUUCCGCAAUGGGCGAAAGCCUGACGGAGCAACGCCGCGUGAGUGAUGAAGGUCUUCGGAUCGUAAAACUCUGUUAUUAGGGAAGAACAUAUGUGUAAGUAACUGUGCACAUCUUGACGGUACCUAAUCAGAAAGCCACGGCUAACUACGUG
rnacentral:rRNA from 1 species